AGCUAUGCGCAGUGGCAGUAUCGUAGCCAAUGAGUUUUAUCCAAGGCACGAUUAUUGCUAAUUGAUAAGAAAACGUAAUUAAAAUCAAAAGGAAGUAAAAAUACAUUUACAAUACAGUACUGUA
rnacentral:snRNA from 1 species